GGUCACAUCAUGUUACAACACCGAUUACCUUAUGGUCACCGAAGUUAAGCAACGUCGAGCCUGAUCAGUACCUAGAUGGGUAACCGUUUGGGAAUACCAGGUGCUGUAAG